UACGGGGGGAGGCAAGCGUUGUUCGGAUUUACUGGGCGUAAAGGGCGCGUAGGCGGUCGUGACAAGUCACUUGUGAAAUCUCCGGGCUUAACUCGGAACGGUCAAGUGAUACUGUCGGACUAGAGUACAGAAGGGGCAACUGGAAUUCUCGGUGUAGCGGUGAAAAUGCGUAGAUAUCGAGAGGAACACCUGCGGCGAAGGCGGGUUGCUGGGCUGAUACUGACGCUGAGGCGCGAAAGCCAGGGGAGGCGAACGGG
rnacentral:rRNA from 1 species